rnacentral:rRNA from 1 species
GACGAACGCUGGCGGCGUGCUUAACACAUGCAAGUCGAACGGAAAGGCCCUGCUCUUGUGGGUUGCUCGAGUGGCGAACGGGUGAGUAACACGCGAGUAACCUGCCCUUGACUUUGGGAUAACUCCAGGAAAAUGGGGCUAAUAUCGGAUAGGAGCUCCUGCUGCACGGGGGGGGUUGGAAAGAUUCGGCGGUUGGGGAUGGACUCGCGGCUUACCAGCUUGUUGGUGGGGUAGGUGCUUACCAAGGCUUUGACGGGUAGCCGGCAUGAGAGGGUGACCGGCCACAUUGGGACUGAGAUACGGCCCAGACUGCUACGGGAGGCAGCAGUGGGGAGUAUUGCACAAUGGGCGGAAGCCUGAUGCAGCAGCGCCGCGUGCGGGAUAACGGCCUUCUGGUUGUAAACAGCUUUCGCCGGUGACAAAGCGUGAGUGACGGUAAUGAAUAAGAAAGCACCGGCUAACUACGUG